rnacentral:rRNA from 1 species
AGUGAACGCUGGCGGCAGGCCUAAUACAUGCAAGUCGAACGGCAGCACAGUGGAGCUUGCUCCAUGGGUGGCGAGUGGCGGACGGGUGAGGAAUACAUGGGAAUCUGCCCAGUCGUGGGGGAUAACGUAUGGAAACGUACGCUAAUACCGCAUGCGCCCUUCGGGGGAAAGUCGGGGACCGCAAGGCCUGACGCGAUUGGAUGAGCCCAUGUUCGAUUAGCUAGUUGGCGGGGUAACGGCCCACCAAGGCGACGAUCGAUAGCUGGUCUGAGAGGAUGAUCAGCCACACUGGAACUGAGACACGGUCCAGACUCCUACGGGAGGCAGCAGUAGGGAAUAUUGGACAAUGGGCGCAAGCCUGAUCCAGCCAUGCCGCGUGAGUGAAGAAGGCCUUGGUUGUAAGCUCUUCGGUCUGGGAAGAAUCGCAUCUCCUAAUACGGGUGGUGGAGUGACGGUACCAGCAUAAGAAGACACCGGA